GAUGAACGCUAGCUACAGGCUUAACACAUACAAGUCGAGGGGUAACGAGAGGAAAGCUUGCUUUCCUUGUCGACGACCGGCGCACGGGUGAGUAACGCGUAUCCAACCUGCCCCCAACUAAGGAAUAACCUUGCGAAAGUAAGACUAAUACCUUAUAAUUUCCUCAGAUGUCAUCUGACGAGGAAUAAAGAUUUAUCGGUUGUGGAUGGGGAUGCGUCUGAUUAGCUUGUUGGCGGGGUAACGGCGCACCAAGGCAACGAUAAGUAGGGGUUCGGAGAGGAAGGGACCCAACAUUGGAACUGCGACACGGUCCAAACUCCUACGGGAGGCAGCAGUGAGGAAUAUUGGUCAAUGGGCGAAAGCCUGAACCAGCCAAGUAGCGUGCGGGACGACGGCCCUAUGGGUUGUAAACUGCUUUUAUACAGGAAUAAAGUUAGCCACGUGUGGUUAUUUGUAGGUACUGUAUGAAUAAGGACCGGCUAAUUCCGUGCCAGCCGCCGCCGUAA
rnacentral:rRNA from 1 species